UACGAAGGGGGCUAGCGUUGCUCGGAAUCACUGGGCGUAAAGAGCUCGUAGGCGGUCCGUCACGUCGGAUGUGAAAUUCCAGGGCUCAACCCUGGACCUGCAUUCGAUACGGGCGGACUAGAGUUCGGUAGGGGAGACUGGAAUUCCUGGUGUAGCGGUGAAAUGCGCAGAUAUCAGGAGGAACACCGGUGGCGAAGGCGGGUCUCUGGGCUGACACUGACGCUCAUGCACGAAAGCGUGGGGAGCAAACAGG
rnacentral:rRNA from 1 species